UGUCCCGUAGUGUAGUGGUUUAGCACAUUAGACUUUGAAUCUAAUAACCCGAGUUCGAAUCUCGGCGGGACCU